UUCAGUUUUAAUAUCUUAUUUCAAUUGUGGGUCGUUUUGCUUAUUAUUAUUUAUUUAUUUUUGUAAUGAUAUCUUAUGAUCAAUUAUAAUCUUUUUGCUUUUUAUUUACGCGGACAAUCUAUAUUUCCUCCAUGUUUUUUUGUUUUCUCAAUUAUCAUGUCAAAAUUAACACUAAUCUGCUAAAUUCUAUAUUGGUUUAAGUUUUUAACUAUGUGGGUUUAUCAUGUAUGUGUAUCAAGAAGCAACAUUUUAGGGUUUUAAGUUUUGUGGAAGCGAGUUGAUUAUGUUCAAGUUUUAAAUUGUUUGUUAGCUGAAUUUAAAUUAUGAUUUUCAAUGUGAAACUAUUUUGAUUCAUUUUCAGAGGAUUAUUUAGUUUGUUUAUAGCUAUAUAUGAUCCAUGAAUUUAUGAGAAUAGUCAGUUUUUCGUACGCAGAAAUUACCAAAGGAACUGUACUGUUUUCGGCAUAAACUCGAAACUUGCAAUUUUUUGUGUGAAUGAUAGAAUGUGCACUCUUGCAGUAGAAAUGUAAUUAAUUGGUGUAGCUUUUAGGAAAACUAAAGCAAUUUUGCGAAGGGGUUCGGUCAAAUUAUUCAAUUCUUGGCUAACAUUGGAGUCCAAUGUGUUCUCAUUUUCUUUCUUGAUAUAAGAGAGGAGUUCUUUGUGUAUGUAGAUCACAUCAGUGGUGUCAUUCAGUUAUUUUUGGUAGUUCAUAUCGGGGUUAAUGCCUUUGCCUUGUUGAGUUGAUGAACUUCUCUACAUGAUAUACUUGUUGUGGGUGUGGCCAAGUUGCUGAAACACAUAAAGUUGCUCAUGAUAUAUUUGUUGUUCCUUGUUUCUUUAUUCACUUUGUGUUUGCUCUGCAUCUUUUCAGUUUCAGCUUUUGUAGCAUCAUUUUAGUGUACGCUGCUGCUAAUUUUUUAAAAUUGUUCCCCCAUCAACAGCUCUUUUGUGUUGUCAUUCUAAUUUUGCUCUCAAAGCAUGUCACAAGUUUAAUAUUCAAUCUUGUUGUUCCUUUGACUAGAUUUAAGUGGAGUCUCUUUGUAGAAGCCACAAUGGCAGAUAACAACCACGAAGAGUUAAACCAUUUGCGUGGUCUUGUGAUGAACCUUGCCAACGAGAUAGACUACAAGAACCAUCUUUUGAUGGAGAAGGAGGGUUUAAGUCUUGAAAAAUUUGCUACCAUGAGCUCUUUGAUUGAAGAGAAAGACAGGCUUCUUGAUGAGAAAUCUGCGGUAAUCGGCUCCUUGAUGGCACAAAAACAUAGGCUACAUGAAGUGUAUGUCGAAGAGAGCCGAAAAUGUGAACAAGUGAAACAAGAAAUGAAGAACAUCAGGCUUGAAUUAAAGGAUCAACAGCAAAAAGUGGAAACUAGAAUAAAAGGACAGGAGGAACUCCAGGCUUUGAAUGACAAGGGACUAGGAACUGUGACUACCAACUCAGUAAAUGCUAAUAGGUGUUUGGAAUCUCCAGAGAUCAAUCUGAUUGUCCCAGUAAAUCAAUCGAGUGAGUUAUUUAGUAAGCACGACAAGGCACAAAAGAGUCAGGAGAAGUUGCAAUACUUGACGGCACGGAAUGAGGAUCUGAAAGUUCAACUUAAAAGUAUGAUGACGCGACUUAGUGAGAAAGAAGCAUUGCAUCAGCUUGAGAGCCCUAAUCAAACUCUUGAAUCAAAUAAGGAUACAAGCAAUGAAGAGCUUAGAUCUGCAAGAACGGAGGCCAUCAAUUGUUUUCUAACAAUGGAUGGCGAUGGAACAUUAAUUGGGAUCAAGAGAUUUGGAGAGAUUGAUCGACGACCUUUCCAGGAUGUAUGUUCUAAGUUUUUUGGCAAUAGGAACUGGGAGGAAAAAUUUAAUGAAUUAUUUUCUUUAUGGCAAGAAAAUGUCAAUGAUCCAAGCUGGAAUCCCUUCAAGAAAGAAAUCAACAGGGGGAAACUGAGUGAGGUUAUUGAUGACAAUGACAAGAAGCUGGCAGAGUUGAGAGAAGAAUGGGGUGAAGAAGCAUACAAAGCUGUUGUUAAUGCAUUGCUGGAUUCUAGAAAGUUCGAUCCUAGAACUAAUUCUUCUAAUCCUGAGCUUUGGAACUUUGAAGAGGGAAGAAGGGCUGAUUUGAAAGAAGUAAUUCAGUACAUUAUCCAGCGCUGUGAUGUUUAUAAAAACAAAUACAAUGAGCAGACUGGUGCUAUCAUCGAGCUGAUCGCAGAGAAAGAGAAACUACUUGGGAAUUUGGAAAGUAUCAAUGUUAUACUAGAGGAGAAGGACAAGCUUCUCAAAGAGAAAUAUGAAGCAGUUGCCAAAUUAACGACGCGGGAUAUGGAGAAGGAUAAACUGCUUAGCAAAUCAUCUGCUACUAUCAGCACAUUAAUGGCAGAGAAACAUCUUCUGCUUGAAAGCUGUAAUGCAGAAAAGAGAAAGAGUCAAUGCUUGAAAGAACAGAUUGAAAAGCUGAAGCAUGUAUUGCAACCUCAAGAGGAGCUAGCAAAACCAAUUGAGGUUGAGGAGCACAAGAAGACAAAGCACAAUUAUGGGGGUGACAGAAGUGUAGCAAUCAAGGACAAAGGUGUGAACUGGUAUAUGGAUUCUUUAACAGAUCAAAAGGGGCCAAUCGCAAAGAAGUUAAAGGACUCCAAAGUUCAUAGUACCAAAGAGGAGAUUAGCUCAACAUCAAACAAUAUAAAGUUACAAGGUCAAAACACGGGAGAAAUGUUAAAGCAUCCUAAAGCUGAGCCUGACACGGUCGAGGAACCACCGAAUGGGAGACUGGAUCUAUUAGGAUUAUCGCAACCAAGCACACACUCAUAUCUUCUUCCCCCCAAAGCUGUGAUUUCUGCUACAUCAUAUUCAAUGGUUCUAGAAACAAAUUAUCUGGAGGCUUAUGUGAAAAAAGAAGAUGAAGCAUAGUUUAUGAGAGAAUGAUACGCAGCUUGUAUGUAAUGAAGCAUACAGUUAUUCAAGUGUCAUGAGUAAUAUUACCUCAAGUUUAGAGCUAGUUCAAGAAAGCCCGUGGAAGUCCUGAUGACAUCAAUAUCAUGCAACAAUCUAUUGGAAGUUUCAUACAUGUUACGAAACAUUGUCUGCUGUUAUUUGAGUCAUUCCAAUGGAGAACUGCAACCACGACGAUAAGCUUAGGAGUUUGCGGAAUCUUGUGGUGAAACUUUCCGAAGAGAUUGAUUACAAAAACUUCAGGUUGAUGGAAUUAGAAGAAAAGAACACUUUAGACAUAGAAAACUGGAUGAAGGAGAAAGAAAAGUUUUCUAUUGAGAGAUCUGCAGCAUUUAGUGUAUUGGUGUCCGAGAAUGUGGAUAAAGAUAUAUUACUUGACGAGAAAUCUGAACACAUUGCUGCUUUGGAAGAAGAGAGAGAACAUAUGCUUUGUGAGACCAUAAAAAAUAUGAACACAUUGAAGGAAGAGUGUGAGAGGCUGAUCACCGAGAAAUUUGCAGUCAUCAACACUCUGAAGGCACAAAAUACAGACAAAGAUAGGCUACUUGAAGAGAAAGAACAGCUGCUUAUUGAGAAGUUAAAAUGCAUCAACACAUUGAAGGUAGAAAGAGAAUGGCUUAUUAAUCAGAAAUCUGCAACAAUCAGCACCUUGAUGGAGCAAAAUGCAGAGAAUGAGAUGCUUAUUAAGGAGAAAUCUGCUGUGGCUAACAAGUUGACGACAGAGAAGGAUCAAUGGCACGAAGCUUUUUUAAGAG